CUCUUGUUAGCUCAGUUCGUUUAGAGCAACAGGCUUUUAACCUGUGGGUCACGGGUUAGAAUCCCGUACAAGAGG